rnacentral:rRNA from 1 species
GGGGAAUAUUGCACAAUGGAGGAAACUCUGAUGCAGCGACGCCGCGUGAAUGAUGAAGGCCUUCGGGUCGUAAAGUUCUGUCCUUGGGGAAGAUAAUGACGGUACCCAAGGAGGAAGCCCCGGCUAACUACGUGCCAGCAGCCGCGGUAAUACGUAGGGGGCGAGCGUUGUCCGGAAUUAUUGGGCGUAAAGGGUUCGCAGGCGGUCUGAUAAGUCAGAUGUGAAAGGCUAUGGCUUAACCAUAGUAAGCAUUUGAAACUGUCAGACUUGAGUUAAGGAGAGGAAAGUGGAAUUCCUAGUGUAGCGGUGAAAUGCGUAGAUAUUAGGAGGAAUACCAGUGGCGAAGGCGACUUUCUGGACUUAAACUGACGCUGAGGAACGAAAGCGUGGGGAGCAAAC